GCGACAGUAGCUCAGGGGUAGAGCAUCUGCUUCCCAAGCAGAGGGUCGAGGGUUCAAAUCCCUUCUGUCGCUCCA
rnacentral:tRNA from 3 species